rnacentral:rRNA from 1 species
AUGCAUGUUAUAUGCGCGAGGAGUGAUAUGGAGAAAGUAUUCCAAAUAGGCCAUAAAGGACACAGUGGGAUCCCAUUGUCUCCCCUAAACUAUCAAGAACUGGGUGAUCCUGUCCUCAGAUGGGGCGGCAGAAAGGCUGGAGGCCUUCAUCACACACCUUGCGACCGAUCUGAGGCAGUCGCUGAUGAUCAGUGGCUAAGCAUGAAGCUUGCCGAAACCCCGCUGGUGACUCCAUGGGACAAGCUGAAGAUCUCGGACGACGCAGUGGGCUUCUCGUCCCCCUCCAAGAAGCGUUCGGAGGCGACAUCGAUGCAGAGUCCAACCUCGACGCUGGUGGCUGCCUGGUCCCCUCAAGCGGUGGCUGCGCCGCCGCUGAAAGCGCGCAAAGCAUCCCAGGAGCUGAUCUGCACUUGA